GCAGUGGUGGCUCAGUGGUUAUAACGUUGGACCUCUGACCAGAAGGGUAUGAGUUCAAAUCCCAGCACUGCA